CAUCAGAUGACUGAAAGUAAGUAAUGGUCUCUUAAACCACAAUAUAGUAAAUUAACACCUACUUCUGAUGA
rnacentral:tRNA from 1 species